rnacentral:rRNA from 1 species
UACAGAGGGGGCAAGCGUUAUUCGGAAUUAUUGGGCGUAAAGGGCGCGUAGGCGGCUUGGCAAGUGGAAGGUGAAAUCCCUCGGCUUAACCUGGGAACUGCAUUCGAGACUGCAUUGCUAGAGUAUGGGAGAGGGAAGUGGAAUUUCCGGUGUAGCGGUGAAAUGCGUAGAUAUCGGAAGGAACAUCAGUGGCGAAAGCGACUUCCUGGACCAAUACUGACGCUCAUGUGCGAAAGCGUGGGGAGCAAACAGG